AUUGAACGCUGGCGGCAGGCCUAACACAUGCAAGUCGAGCGGAUGAAGGGAGCUUGCUCCUGGAUUCAGCGGCGGACGGGUGAGUAAUGCCUAGGAAUCUGCCUGGUAGUGGGGGAUAACGUCCGGAAACGGGCGCUAAUACCGCAUACGUCCUGAGGGAGAAAGUGGGGGAUCUUCGGACCUCACGCUAUCAGAUGAGCCUAGGUCGGAUUAGCUAGUUGGUGGGGUAAGGGCCUACCAAGGCGACGAUCCGUAACUGGUCUGAGAGGAUGAGCGGUCACCCUGGAACUGAGCCACGGUCCAGACUCCUACGGGAGGCAGCAGUGGGGAAUAUUGGACAAUGGGCGAAAGCCUGAUCCAGCCGUGCCGCGUGUGUGAAGAAGGUCUUCGGAUUGUAAAGCACUUUAAGUUGGGAGGAAGGGCAGUAAGUUAAUACCUUGCUGUUUUGACGUUACCAACAGAAUAAGCACCGGCUAACUUCGUG
rnacentral:rRNA from 1 species